ACGAAUAAGGAUCGGCUAACUCCGUGCCAGCAGCCGCGGUAAUACGGAGGAUCCAAGCGUUAUCCGGAAUCAUUGGGUUUAAAGGGUCCGUAGGCGGGAUGAUAAGUCAGUGGUGAAAGUUUGUGGCUCAACCAUAAAAUUGCCAUUGAUACUGUUGUUCUUGAGUGCUUGUGAAGUGGUUAGAAUGAGUAGUGUAGCGGUGAAAUGCAUAGAUAUUACUCAGAAUACCGAUUGCGAAGGCAGAUCACUAACAAUACACUGACGCUGAUGGACGAAAGCGUAGGUAGCGAACAGGAUUAGAUACCCUGGUAGUCUACCCCGUAAACGAUGGUUACUAGCUGUUCGGACUAAUUGCGGUCUGAGUGGCUAAGCGAAAGUGAUAAGUAACCCACCUGGGG
rnacentral:rRNA from 1 species